AAGUAUAUAAAGAAAUUUUUAUGGAACCAUAGCUAUUUGUCAGAGAGAGCUUUUUAUGCUUAACAAUAUUUUGAACUCUGUUAAUAAAUUAAUAUAAGUAAACGAAGUGAAUUGAAAUAUCUUAUUAGCUUCAGGAAAAUAAAUCAAAAGAGAUUCUUAAAGUAGUGUGAAUGAAAAAAGAAUUGUCUCAAAGUAAAAUGGAAAAUAUAUCUGUUUGAAUAUAAGGGGAACCUUCCUCUAAGACUAAAUAUGACAUAUAAGCAAUAGAAAUAGUACCGUGAGGGAAAUGGCAUAAAUAGAAAUUUUAUAAGCAGCUCUAAUAAUUAUUUAAUAUAAUGAUAAGAGCGUACCUUUUGCAUAAUGGGUCAGCAAGUUAAUGUUUGAUGCGAGCAGAGAUGCGUAGGUAAAGCGAUUAUCAUGUAACAAUAUAGUAUCAGAUGUUAGACCCGAAGCCCAGUGAUCUUACUAUGACCAGGAUUAUAAAAGUCCGAACGGGUUAUCGUUGUAUAGAUAUCCGAAGAGUUGUGGUAAGUAAGUGAAAGACAAUCCUGACUGGGAUAGCUGGUUUUCUGCGAAACCUAUAUAAGUAGGUAAUUUAAAUAAAAUAUUGGUAGGUACAGAAUUGUGAUCUCGUACAAUUUAUAUCAAGUUUUUUGUUGCAAAUGGCUUGGUGACUUUGUGGACAUUGGGGGGUCGUGAAGGCUCUAUCAGCGAGUAUUUGUUCUCGGAAGGGCCAUAUAUAAAUAUUGAAUAAUCAGACAUAAUACGAUAAGGUUAUAUGUCUAAAGGGAAACAGCCCAGAACAAGAGUUAAUAAGGUUCCAAAAUUACUGUUAAAUGAAAUUAAGGAAGUAUUUUUCCUAAACGGCCAGGUAAUAGGCUUAGAAGCGGCCAUUUUUUGAAGAUCUCGUAACAGAGCACUGGUUUUAUAGACAAUAAGGUUAAAAGCACCUAAGAUUUAACGGAUCUAAACAGUAUACCGAGACCUUGUACACAAGUACAAGUAUAUAUAUUAUACUUGUACUUGUGUGGUAGCAGAACGUUGGGUAUAUUACUGAAUAUUUCUUCGAUUUAUUACAGGUUGAUGUUUACCUUGUUUUUAUUAUAAUAAAAACAAGAUGAGCCGCUAAAAGAUCCCAAGUGAUAAUGCUGACAUGAGUAACGAUAAAGGAAGAAAGCGAAUAUUAUGCCGUAUUCCUUCGCCUUAAGCUUAUGGUAUUUAUUAAAGUCACGGCCUCUAAGUUUAAAUUACCGUACCUAUAUACUAACGCAAGUAAGCAAGUAGAGAAUACGAAGGCGUUCGAGUGAUUAAUCAUUAAGGAACUCGGCAAAUUGACUCUCGUAACUUCGGGAUAAGGUGGGCCAUCCCUAUUGAUUAAUAUCAAGUCAGGGAGAGGAGGCACGGAAUAGUGUUGUACGACUGUUUAAUUAAAACAAAGCACGCUGCAAAGAAAUGAAUUCUAAGUAUUGGGUGUGAUCUCUGCCCAAUGACGGCUGGUUAUCGGAUUUGCUUAGUUGACUAACGAAGCUAGGUUUCGAAGGAACCCCCGUUCAAUGGCGGCCUUACAGAUGAGGGUCCUAAGGUAGCGGAAUACCCUGGCCGUUAAAUGCGGUCUUGCAUGAAUGAUGUAACGAUACAACAGCUGUCUCAAUGAUUAGCUCGGUGAAAUUGGAAUAACUGUGCAGAUACAGUUUACCUCUAGUUAGACGAGAAGACCCUAUGCAGCUUUACUGUUGCUAGUUAUUGAAUGUGAUAUAAUGAGUUGUAGUGUAUAAGGUAAUUGCUAUGAUAAAAUUGAAACGCCUUUACUUCAUUUAUCAUGUUAUAUAACAAUUGCUAGGUGGCAGUUUAUGCGGGGCACAGAUCCCAUAAAAAGUACCUGGGAGUAUCCAAAUUCACUUUUGUAAAAUUGCAAUUUGCAAUCAAAUAUGGUUUAUUAUAGCAUUUAUGUUAUAAUAAGUGAUAUUUUUUUUUAAUUUGAAGUUGGCCUUAUUGUAACACCUUAGGUGUUUUAUUGCUAAUUCAGUUAUGUAUUCAUUUAAGUUGGAGUUUAUUUUUUAUUUAAGUAGGUUUUUAGCUAUAUAAAAAAAUAGAUGUAAAUAAUGAUAAUUAAUUUACUUAUAAAGUUUAACGGCUUAAUCUUGCUUUACUGUUUGACUUACACGUCUUUCAGUCGCGUAAGCGGGGCAUAUGAUCACGAGACGCAUAAAGGAAAGGUCUUGGAUUAUUGAAAAAGCUACGCUAGGGAUAACAGGCUAAUUGCGCCAGAGAGUUCAAAUUGAGUGCGCAGUUUGGCACCUCGAUGUCGGCUUAGCUCAUCCACAUGAAUGUAGGAGUCAUGAAGGGUACGACUGUUCGUCGAUUAAAGAGCUACACGAGCUGGGUUAAAUACGUCGUGAGACAGUAUGGUUUCUAUCUUCUAGGGGAAAUUAGAAUAAAAUAAGGAUAGCCCCUUGUACGAAAGGAGUUGGGUAUAUUAACCUAUGGUUUACCUGCUGUUUAUCUGCCUAUAUUAAUAUGGU
rnacentral:rRNA from 1 species